rnacentral:rRNA from 1 species
GACGAACGCUGGCGGCGUGCUUAACGCAUGCAAGUCGAACGGAAAGGCCCUGCUUUUGUGGGGUGCUCGAGUGGCGAACGGGUGAGUAACACGUGAGUAACCUGCCCUUGACUUUGGGAUAACUUCAGGAAACUGGGGCUAAUACCGGAUAGGAGCUCCUGCUGCAUGGUGGGGGUUGGAAAGUUUCGGCGGUUGGGGAUGGACUCGCGGCUUAUCAGCUUGUUGGUGGGGUAGUGGCUUACCAAGGCUUUGACGGGUAGCCGGCCUGAGAGGGUGACCGGCCACAUUGGGACUGAGAGACGGCCCAGACUGCUACGGGAGGCAGCAGUGGGGAAUAUUGCACAAUGGGCGGAAGCCUGAUGCAGCAACGCCGCGUGCGGGAUGACGGCCUUCGGGUUGUAAACCGCUUUCGCCUGUGACGAAGCGUGAGUGACGGUAAUGGGUAAAGAAGCACCGGCUAACUACGUG